rnacentral:tRNA from 1 species
UGGCGGGUAGCAAUCCGGGUGAAUGCGCCGCACUGUUAAUGCGGAUAGAGGCAGGUUCGAGUCCUGCCCCGCCAG